rnacentral:lncRNA from 1 species
AAGAUAAACUUUCUACAAUUGAAUUCUUAACUAGUGCCCCUGGGGCACUAUUUAGCAUUUGCCUAAAAAAAAUGUAAAAACUAUAAAUAAGAACACCUCAAUUUUAACUUGAAAAACUCUCGAUAUGAGAAUAAAAAACCGCGGGUCUUUUCUUUUUUUUUUUCUUUCUUUUACACUUGAAGUGGGAUCCACAUUCACUUUGAACCUCUCGGCUGCCUCUCAUAAUCUUUCAGAGGAAUAUCAUCUUCUCUUAAUUUCAUCCU